UACGGAAGGCAGCAGUGGGGAAUAUUGCACAAUGGGCGCAAGCCUGAUGCAGCCAUGCCGCGUGUAUGAAGAAGGCCUUCGGGUUGUAAAGUACUUUCAGUCGUGAGGAAGGUGUUAAGGUUAAUAACCUUAGCAAUUGACGUUAGCGACAGAAGAAGCACCGGCUAACUCCGUGCCAGCAGCCGCGGUAAUACGGAGGGUGCGAGCGUUAAUCGGAAUUACUGGGCGUAAAGGGCACGCAGGCGGUUAAUUAAGUUGGAUGUGAAAUCCCCGGGCUUAACCUGGGAAUGGCAUUCAAGACUGGUUAGCUAGAGUCUUGUAGAGGGGGUAGAAUUCCAUGUGUAGCGGUGAAAUGCGUAGAGAUGUGGAGGAAUACCGGUGGCGAAGGCGGCCCCUGGGACAAAGACUGACGCUCAUGUGCGAAGCGUGGGGAGCAAACAGGAUUAGAUACC
rnacentral:rRNA from 1 species